GACGAACGCUGGCGGCGUGCUUAACACAUGCCAGUCGAACGGAAAGGCCCUGCUUUUGUGGGGUGCUCGAGUGGCGAACGAGUGAGUAACACGUGAGUAACCUGCCCUUGACUUUGGGAUAACUUCAGGAAACUGGGGCUAAUACCGGAUAGGAGCUCCUGCUGCAUGGUGGGGGUUGGAAAGUUUCGGCGGUUGGGGAUGGACUCGCGGCUUAUCAGCUUGUUGGUGGGGUAGUGGCUUACCAAGGCUUUGACGGGUAGCCGGCCUGAGAGGGUGACCGGCCACAUUGGGACUGAGAUACGGCCCAGACUCCUACGGGAGGCAGCAGUGGGGAAUAUUGCACAAUGGGCGGAAGCCUGAUGCAGCAACGCCGCGUGUGGGAUGACGGCCUUCGGGUUGUAAACCGCUUUCGCCUGUGACGAAGCGUGAGUGACGGUAAUGGGUAAAGAAGCACCGGCUAACUACGUG
rnacentral:rRNA from 1 species